rnacentral:rRNA from 1 species
AGUGAACGCUGGCGGUAGGCCUAACACAUGCAAGUCGAACGGCAGCACAGUAAGAUCUUGCUCUUACGGGUGGCGAGUGGCGGACGGGUGAGGAAUAGAUCGGAAUCUACUUUUUCGGGGGGGAUAACGUAGGGAAACUGAUGCUAAUACCGCAUACGACCUACGGGUGAAAGCAGGGGAGCAUCGUACCUUGCCAGCAUGAAUGAGCCGAUGUGGUAUUAGCUAGUUGGCGGGGUAAAGGCCCACCAAGGCGACGAUUCGUAGCUGGCCUGAGAGGAUGAUCGGCCACACUGGAACUGAGACACGGUCCAAACUCCUACGGGAGGCAGCAGUAGGGAAUAUUCGACAAUGGGCGCAAGCCUGAUCCAGCAACACCGCGUGAGUGAAGAAGGCCUUCGGGUUGUAAAACCCUUUUGUUGGGAAAGAACAGUGGCGGGUUAAUACCCCGCUGUUAUGACGGUACCCAAACCAUAAGCACCGGCUAACUUCCUG